rnacentral:rRNA from 3 species
AGACCCGAAACCCGGUGAUCUAGCCAUGGGCAGGUUGAAGGUUGGGUAACACUAACUGGAGGACCGAACCGACUAAUGUUGAAAAAUUAGCGGAUGACCUGUGGCUGGGGGUGAAAGGCCAAUCAAACCGGGAGAUAGCUGGUUCUCCCCGAAAGCUAUUUAGGUAGCGCCUCGUGAAUUCAUCUCCGGGGGUAGAGCACUGUUUCGGCUAGGGGGCCAUCCCGGCUUACCAACCCGAUGCAAACUGCGAAUACCGGAGAAUGUUAUCACGGGAGACACACGGCGGGUGCUAACGUCCGUCGUGAAGAGGGAAACAACCCAGACCGCCAGCUAAGGUCCCAAAGUCAUGGUUAAGUGGGAAACGAUGUGGGAAGGCCCAGACAGCCAGGAUGUUGGCUUAGAAGCAGCCAUCAUUUAAAGAAAGCGUAAUA